rnacentral:rRNA from 1 species
AUUGAACGCUGGCGGCAUGCUUUACACAUGCAAGUCGAACGGUAACAGGCCGCAAGGUGCUGACGAGUGGCGAACGGGUGAGUAAUGCAUCGGAACGUGCCCAGUCGUUGGGGAUAACUACUCGAAAGAGUAGCUAAUACCGCAUACGAUCUAUGGAUGAAAGCGGGGGACCGUAAGGCCUCGCGCGAUUGGAGCGGCCGAUGUCAGAUUAGGUAGUUGGUGGGGUAAAGGCUCACCAAGCCAACGAUCUGUAGCUGGUCUGAGAGGACGACCAGCCACACUGGGACUGAGACACGGCCCAGACUCCUACGGGAGGCAGCAGUGGGGAAUUUUGGACAAUGGGCGCAAGCCUGAUCCAGCAAUGCCGCGUGCAGGAAGAAGGCCUUCGGGUUGUAAACUGCUUUUGUAAGGAACGAAACGGCUCUGGUUAAUACCCGGGGCUAAUGACGGUACCGUAAGAAUAAGCAACGGCUAACUACGUG